AAAAAUUAAAAAAACACUCUGAGGUUCUUUGGUCUCUGCUGUGGCCACAUUUCUCUAUUCAUUUCCCUUGACUUCCCUCUCAGAAGAUGACAAGCAUGGGAAUUCAGUUAUUUACCACAAAAUCAUUUAGCAAAUCAUUAAGGCAAUCCUAAAACAGAAAAAAUGUAGUUCUUUUGUUCCCUAGGGAAUAGUGACAUCAACAAUAUCAGGACCAAAUUAGAUUAUAUCAAAAGCCAUAGCAAACAUUUUCCUGGGCCAGGCACUGCACUAAGCACUUUAUAUGCAUUAUUCUAUGUAACCCUUACAAAUCUAUUCAUAUUACUAUUCAUAUGCCCAUUCUACAGAUUAGAAAUAAAGGCUAAAAAAGGUUCAGUAACUCACCCAGAGGUUCACAGCUAAUAAAUGCCAGAUCUGACCCUGAAGCUUCAGAGUGCCUGACCCCACAGACUAUGCCUUUAACCACUAACUACUUUGCCUCCUUAUAGUCUUAAAUAAUGCAAGAUUGGAGGGGCUGGCAGCAGGUGGUGGAGGCGUGGGGCCUGCUCCCGCUAGCGCCAUGGCCAAGACCGUGGCCUAUUUCUACGACCCUGACGUGCACAACUUCCACUACGGAGCUGGACACCCUAUGAGGCCCCAUCACCUGGCAUUGACCCAUAGCCUGGUCCUGCAUUACGGUCUCUAUAAGAUGAUCCUCAGUGUUUUCCGGACAAGAUCUGUGAUAUUGCCAUUAACUGGGCUGGUGGUCUGCACCAUGCCAAGAAGUUUGAGGUACCACCCUCAGGUGCUUUACAUUGAUAUUGACAUCCACCAUGGUGACGGGGUUCAGGAAGCUUUCUACCUCACCGACCAGGUCAUAACGGUGUUCUUCCACAAAUAGGGAAAUUACUUCUUCCCUGGCACAGGUGACAUGUAUGAAGUCGGGGCAGAGAGUGGCCACUACUACUGUCUGAAUGUGCCCCUGCGGGAUGGCAUUGAUGACCAGAGUUACAAAUACCUUUUCCAGCCAGUUAUCAACCAGGUAGUGGACUUCUACCAACCCACAUGCAUUGUGCUCCAGUGUGGAGCUGACGCUCUGGGCUGUGAUCGAUUGGGCUGCUUUAACCUCAGCAUCCGAGGGCAUGGGGAAUGUGUGGAAUAUGUCAAGAGCUUCAAUAUCCCUCUACCGGUGCUGGGUGGUGGUGGUUAUACUGUCCGAAAUGUUGCCCGCUGCUGGACAUAUGAGACAUCGCUGCUGGUAGAAGAGGCCAUUAGUGAGGAGCUUCCCUAUAGUGAAUACUUCGAGUACUUUGCCCCAGACUUCACACUUCAUCCAGAUGUCAGCACCCGCAUCGAGAAUCAGAACUCACGCCAGUAUCUGGACCAGAUCCGCCAGACAAUCUUUGAAAACCUGAAGAUGCUGAACCAUGCACCUAGUGUCCAGAUUCAUGACGUGCCUGCAGACCUCCUGACCUAUGACAGGACUGAUGAGGCUAAUGCGGAGGACAGGGGUCCUGAGGAGAACUAUAGCAGGCCAGAGGCACCCAAUGAGUUCUGUGAUGGAGACCAUGACAAUGACAAGGAAAGCGAUGUGGAGAUUUAAGAGUGGCUUGGGAUGCUGUGUCCCAAGGAAUUUCUUUUCACCUCUUGGUUGGACUGGAGGGAAAAGGAGUGGCUCCUAGAGUCCUGGAGUGGUCACCCCAGGGCUUUUGCUGACUCUGGGAAGGAGUCUGGAGACCACAUUUGGUUCUCGAACCAUCCACCCCCUUUUCCUCUCUCUCCCAAGGCCUGACAAUGGUACCUAUUAGGGAUGAGAUACGGACAAGGAUAGCUAUAUGGGACAUUAUUGUCAGUGGGCCCUGGAGGUCAGUCCCUAGCCCCCCUUGUCCCUUAUUUCUUCUCUGCUUCACUCCAACCCAGAGAUUUUGAGGGACGAAUGGGUAGACAAGGACUGAGAUUGUCUCUGACUUCCUCCUCCCCUUGCUUCCAGGGAAGAUGAAGAGAGAGGGAUUUGGCAGGCGCUAUGGCUCCCUAACACCUGAAUCCCAGAUGAUAGGAAGUAUGUUUUCAAGUGUGGGGAGGAUAUGAAAAUGUUCUGUUCUCACUUUUGGCUUUAUGUUCAUUUUACCACUGUUUUGAUCCAAAAACUAAGUCAGUAAUUUUUGUAAAAAUAAAAUAAUAAUAAUAAUAAUAAUGCAAGAUGAGUACUUAAAGCAAACAGGGUACCCAGGCUUGGGUCUGCAGGUAGGGGUAGAAAAUCCAGACCAGAAAGCCAGGAAUGGCUGCAACACUACUCAGAGCAGUAGCAGGAAUCUCCCUAUGCCUCAGGGUGUGCCUCUAAGAAAUGGCUACAACCCAUAGCUCUGGCCAGGUAGCCAGGAACCAGAGAGGAGAAGGAAUCUAGUGAGGUCCUGAGAAAAGUGAGUAUUUGGGAAGAGUCUAUGAAGGAAGAGGAAUCGGGCUGUGGUGGGCCCACUCGUACCCCUUCAUGACCUCAGCCUUGCAAUGGGGUGUUUUAUAGAUGACUAACCCCAUGUCAAGGGCAGCUGCUUUCACUGGGCCUAUGAUUGUAUCCUCAUAAUAAGCCCUGACACAGAAGUCUCUGGAUGAAGAGGAGAUAUCAGCAGGUGAUUCUACCACUCCCUUUAUUACCUGUCCAGGGCAAUGCUAAGCAACACCAGCCAUCACCAUCUAGCUCUCCGCUCCAACCUUCAGCAACCACUCAAUUACCCAACAGAUAUAACACUGAGCACCUACUAUGUGCAGGUACUGUGAGGGGUGCCAGAGUUACAGCAUAGAGCAAAGCAAAGAUCCUUCGUGGAACUUACAUUUCAUAUGAUUCUAUUUAUAUAAAAUGUCCAGAAAAGGCAAAUACAUAGAGACACAAAUUAUAUCAGUAGUAGACUAGGGCCAGGGAGAUUGGGGGGAAAUGGGAGUCACUGUUAAUAAGUACAGGUUUCUUCUGAAGGUGAUGAAAGUCUUCUAAAAUUAAUUGUGACAAUUAUUGCACAACUCUAUGAAUAUACCAAAACCCAGAGAAUUAUACACUUUAAGUAAAUUUUAUGGUAUGUGAACUAUAUAUCAAUAAAGCUGUCGAAUUAACAAAAAUAAUAAGGACCAAAAACCAGAACUUUGCAUCUCAAGCUCUGCUCUAUGCUAUUGCCACAGUACCAGGUGCUUUCUGUAUAUAAGGAAGAACAUGAAAGCUUCCCAAUGAGGCUAAAAAAAAAUAAACUAUUCGGAAAGACUUUUAAGUGCCCAACCUAUUUACUAAUGUGCCCCUUAAAAUGUUAGGCACAUCAGAGAUUAUUACGUGACUAAAGAUAGGCUAAAUUAUGCUGUGGUAACAAGCCCCAAAUCUCAGUAGCUAAAUAACAAGUUGAUUUUGCAUUUAUGCUACAUCCAUUUAGGGCUGGCUGAGGCUGUUUCCUCUCCAACUUGCCCAGACUGACACAGCAACCACCAUCUGGAGCUUUGCCAGUCUCCACAGCAGAGGGCAAGAGGGAUCUGGAGUGUCACACACUGGUGACUGAGCGACUCAGCCCAAAAUUGAUAUAGCAUACUUCUCUCAACAUGGCUAGAAGUAGUCACAUGGCUCCAAAAACACAAGGAGGCCAGGAAACACAAGCCCAUCACAUGCCUGGAAAACAGAAAGCUUUGAAAAGCCAGUAAACAGUGCUAAUGUUUGCACAGGCGAUUAAGGUAUAGUGUGGUUAAGAAUGUGAAUUGGGAAGUCAGCAUACUUGGCUUAAAUCCCAAUGCUAUCACUCACUAUCUAGACAUCACCACAUUACUUGGGAGAAGUUAACUUGACCUCUUUGGGCCUCAGUUUCCUCAUCCAUAAAAUGAGGAAAGUAAUGGUAUUCACCUCAUAGGUCUGUUAGAAGAUUAAAGAGGAUUUCUAUCUGUAAGGAAUGGAGAACAGAACCUGGCAAGUGCUAAUGCCAUAAGUAUCAUAUAACCUUUAUUAUUUUGAAAAAAAAAAUAAAGGCAAUGUUGUUUUAUCUGUGUAAUAUAAUGAAUUGGCACUGUGUGAAGUAUCACUCUACAGAAUCCAACACAUACAAAGUAGGCAUAAAAUAAACUGCAGCCCUUAGUAACAGAAAACCAGGACUUCCACGUCUUACUUAGCCCGCCCUUGAACUAGUUGUCCGGUCCCUUGGCUUCAUGUUUCGUUCUUAUCUUUAAGUGAAGGCUCUCCAGCACUAAAAGCUUGGAAUUCUUUAUUCAUGGGUCAUUGACUUGGCCCACUGUGGUCCUUUCAUUGUUUGCUCUCUGUUCUUUGCCAAUAAAGGAUGGUCCUCCCCUUCAAAUCAAGGGAGCACCAAGACAUUCCCUAGCUGGUUCCAAAAGGCAAACCUCACCUGGAUGGGCCCCUCUGGGCAAGCCGACCCUAGCCCACUUUCUGCAAGCAAGCCAUCAGGAAGCAGCCAGGAGAGAGGCAGGUCACUGGUGCACUUCAAAGGAAGCGCCCGCCUCCCAGGGAGAGUGGGGAGGGUGCACAGUCGCCCAGAGGGAGGGCAGCUGGCCUCCACCCAGAGCCCUGGUGAGUUGUCUCCUCCCAUCCCUGUGCAAGAGCUUCAUGGCCCUCAACAAACAGCUCCAUACACCUUUUAGAAGCACCCUCCUCACCUGUACCUUCCCUCCUUGGCCCAGGUGGGUACUGCACCUCUGUGUUGGGGGAGUCCUUGGGGUUUAUGGAGAGCCGAACAUUCCCACAGAUCUGUUGUCUAGUUUGGCCCUAUUCUGGGGUCAGGAACAGGAAUACGAAUUUAAAAAUUAGGAAGAUGUGCCAUGAGAUUUUUUAAAAAAAAUCUCCCAGUAAGGCAAAGCUUUAAAAAGUGGGGGCCAUUCACAAUAUUUCAACCUCAGUUUAACACAUUAAAUAUGUGAAAAAAAUAUAGGUAACCAGGAAAAUAAAUCUCAGUGCUGCUGUUUUUCUAAUGUUGAUGACCAUGUCCAACAAUUUCAAUCUCAGUAGCUGAGGCAUCCUCCCUUUAGGAGCCAUUAAAGCCACCUCCCCAGUGUAAUCUAUCUUUUCUGUCAGAAAUCCUUUUUGCCCUCCAUGUGUAUCUCUGAGUCAUGCUGUCUUUCUCUUUCUGCACCUGUGCCCUGGCUGGGACGCUACGGCAAAUUCCACCUCCUGGGAAUUCCCUGAUUUCCCCAACUCUCAUCACUUCCAGGUCACUUACUGUCAACACCCAUUUGUCCCUGCCCUGGGCUAUCCUUUAAGGUUCAAGCCAACAGCCAAGUGGGCGAGACCUCUUGGAGGCAGAUUGUCCAGGCUCAAUCAAAGCACAGAAGACUGCAGCCUUAGCCAAUGUCUUAGACUGCAGCCUCACACAGGACCUUGAGCCAGAACCAGCCAGCCACUCCUGGAUUCCUGAUGCACAGAAACAGUGCGGAAUACUAAACGUUUAUUGUUUUAAAUAAAGUACUAAGUUUGGGGUAAUUUGUUAUACAGCAAUAAAUAAUGAAUAUAGGUGGUAUCCAGGUGAUAAAGCAAGUUUAAUAUAGAAUUUAUGCAGGUGGUAGGUAUACAGGUGUUCACUGUAGAAGUCAGCUUUGCUGUAUGUAUGAACAUUUUCAUAAUCAAACUUGGCGGGGAAGUGUAGGCUGCAUAAUAUAAAACUGGCAGCUGGAUCAGUCUAGGACACAGCUACAGGAAAGUUUCCUGAAUAAUAAAAUAAAAUGAUUUGAUAGAAGUACCAAGGAAUAUAGUCUUUUGGAAGCAGAUAUCUUUGGAGCAUUUACUACAUACAUUUUAUAGUAUAUGUAUGUAUGUAUAAAGUAGGAUUAGAUGUGUAUGUGCUACUUUAUUUUAUCCCAACUCCCAAUUUUCAAAUAGACACUGAUCUGCCAAUUUCAGUUUUUAUCAGGAAAGGGCACUUCUCAGGAAUGGAAUUACCAUAAUAUCAAAGGUAACCUAUUUCUUCCAAUGAGGCCACCAAACAUCCAUUUGCUACCCCGUGCUCUGUUUGUUCUGUCUGAUUUAGUUCCCAAACUAAUUAGGCUAGCUUAAUUCCCUGCUGCUUUAUCAGCUAAUGGUUAAAGAAACUGAUUAACUUUCACAGUAACAUGCUCAACAUAAAGCUGCAACAAAUGGGUAAUUCUGCACUCCAGAGAAAUCGGACUGGUAAAACCAGUGCUGAUGCCGGUUUGUGCUUUCCUUGCUAUUUACCUAUACUUAACAUCCACCCCUGCAUAUUUUUAUAGUGAAGAGUAUGCUAAAAUUGCUGUUCAUAUCCAACAUCGAGAAUGUAUUUUUACAUAAAUAAUGCAACUAGCCCAGUCUUUUUAUGUAAUGAUAUGAACCAUAAAAAAAUUAUGCAUUCAAUAGAAAUACAGACUCAUUAUUUUCUUCAAAUAUAAACAAACCAAAAUCUGCCUGUCAGUGAUUGGAGCCCACUUUGUUUAUUUUACAGAUAUCAGAGGUGGUCAUCACAAUGUUGACUGAUAAUAAAAGUUACCCUAUUACAAAGCACACAGUAAUGUACUGGAGAUAAGCUUGGAAAAUAUUGACAGUUGGAUUCAGUGUUUAGCAGAGAGUCUUAUUUAUAUUGCAUAUGGAAUCCUCAACACUGGCCAAUACCAACACACCUGGAAGGAGAGGCCCCUGCAGUAUUCACCACAGACAAGCACGAGGUGAGGCGGACUAGGGACUGGCUUGUUUAAUCUUACCUCAUCUGCCUCCUAGUUGGAGAGGACAGAAAGUUAAACACUACAUUUUUCAGGCUCCACACUUUGCAGCUAGAGAUCAGGAUGCGAACCAACUAAAGUCACCUGUGCAAAAUUAGGGAGGAGGAAGUGAAGCAGAGGCCUUCUCUAGGCAGCUUUUGGCUGGCAAGCAAACUAUGGAAUGGGAGGUGGGCUUUUGUUUCAUUUUGUCCAGCUUCAUUGAGGUAUAACUGACAAAUUAAAAUUGUACAAAUUUA